GUGAAAGUAUUGAUAUUGUGCGAUAUUGAGAAUCAUUUCGCAAAUUACCACACAGUACCACAGGAGCUCAUAUUUUGAAUACGGGUUCUAACCACGUUGUUGCGCCUUCACAAGUAUCUGAACUACAUUCAUUACGCGACUACUGGAUGCUCUAUGUACCCAUCCACAUUUAGAAGAGGUAGUCAUGAAGAUUCAAAAUGACUCUUGAAGAAUUCGCACGCACGAGAUGCGAGAGCCUUCUGUUGCAUGCCGUGAGCCACAGCCACAGCACAAUCAUCAAGAGCGGCCUCCCACAAAAAGAAGGAAAGGUACAACAGACGUCAUUGUGGAGGCCACCGGGACACUGAAAGCUGUGGCUGAUAUGGCCGGAACUCUGCCCCAGCCUGUCCAAGGAGACCAAUACAGUGCCCUUGCCACCCACAUUGCAGCUGAACUGCGUGAGAUGGAUAAUGUGGGUAGUAAGAAAUUUACAACUGCCACAAGUCACGGUUUGCAGUGGUAUUUGAUGGACAGGUGGGAUUUACUGCAUUUGACAACACAACAAGCACGACCAUCCACCUCUGGGUAUAUCCAGGCUGCCUUGCAGCAGGCUGGUAUAGAAGAGAAUACCGUAUAAUUUUUUUGUAGCUCUCCAAUCUUCUUAAUUUAUUUUUGUACUCAGGAUGCCUCAUGUUGUAAAACACCUAAUCGGCCUCAUACAUCUCUAUUAAUUUUGUAGUUUCGGACACCAAUUGGUACAUGCUGU